AUCGAACGCUGGCGGCAGGCCUAACACAUGCAAGUCGAACGAGUGGCGGACGGGUGAGUAAUGUCUGGGAAACUGCCUGAUGGAGGGGGGUAACUACUGGACAGGGUAGCUAAUACCGCAUACCAUCAGAUGUGCCCAAAUGGGAUUAGCUUGUUGGUGGGGUGACGGCUCACCAAGGGGACGAUCCAUAGCUGGUCUGAGAGGAUGACCAUCAAAACUGGAACUGAGACACGGCCCAGACUCCUACGUGAGGCAGCAGUGGGGAAUAUUGCACAAUGGGCGCAAGCCUGAUGCAGCCAUGCCGCGUGUACGAAGAAGGCCUUCGGGUUGUAAAGUACUUUCAGCGGGGAGGCGUUACCCGCAGAAGAAGCACCGGCUAACUCCGUGCCAGCAGCCGCGGUAAUUC
rnacentral:rRNA from 1 species